rnacentral:rRNA from 1 species
CGAAGCAACGCGAAAAACCUUACCAGGUCUUGACAUCCUCUGAAAACCCUAGAGAUAGGGCUUCUCCUUCGGGAGCAGAGUGACAGGUGGUGCAUGGUUGUCGUCAGCUCGUGUCGUGAGAUGUUGGGUUAAGUCCCGCAACGAGCGCAACCCUUGAUCUUAGUUGCCAUCAUUAAGUUGGGCACUCUAAGGUGACUGCCGGUGACAAACCGGAGGAAGGUGGGGAUGACGUCAAAUCAUCAUGCCCCUUAUGACCUGGGCUACACACGUGCUACAAUGGACGGUACAAAGAGCUGCAAGACCGCGAGGUGGAGCUAAUCUCAUAAAACCGUUCUCAGUUCGGAUUGUAGGCUGCAACUCGCCUACAUGAAGCUGGAAUCGCUAGUAAUCGCGGAUCAGCAUGCCGCGGUGAAUACGUUCCCGGGCCUUGUACACACCGCCCGUCACACCACGAGAGUUUGUAACACCCGAAGUCGGUGGGGUAACCUUUUUGGAGCCAGCCGCCUAAGGUGGGACAGAUGAUUGGGGUGAAGUCU